rnacentral:lncRNA from 1 species
CUUCCAUGAAAGUCUUUGAAUACCAAGGAACUAAUAUUGAAUCUCAAAAAUAAAGAAGAUGAAAAAUAUGCAAUUGGAAGGUGCUUAUUUCAGACUCAAUUCAAGAGAGCUCUAGAGGUAAAAACAGUACUUAAUUAAAGCCUGAUACGCGAAAAUAAAACAUAACUCCGGGCAGGGAGACGAGAAUUCUACAUAACAUCAUCCUAAACAGAAAAGCUGAAGGUGUAGUUAUUUGUUGAUUGUUGAGCCCACCAGGCUCAUAGUGAAGAAAAUGAAUGAAUGAAUCCAGAAAAAAAGAAUUUACAUUUCAAAGAAUUUAUGAACUCUUGCAUAUAUUGUAUUGUGUAAUUGAACAAAAAGCACUUGAAUUACAUAUCCCAACAGAACUCAAAGAGAGUCAAACAAACACUUCACAAGAAGAGUUGAGUGAGAAAACUGUCCUCAAAAACUAACACUCAACCAUAACAAAACCAAGAUCCAAAACUACCCUUCUUCCUAGAAUACAAUAAAAACCCUCCAUAUGCCUAUCAAAAGAGACAAAAUUUACACCUAGAAACAAGUUACAUGUUACACUUUCACACUCAAACACACACUCAAUAUUCAAAGUGAAGUUAAUCAAAUACACGUUUUUGAAUGUAUAGCUUAUGGAGGCAAUACAAUAAAAUUAACGAAAACCCAUAAUCACAACCUGCAUUUUCAUAUAGUAUAAAAGCUCUAAGAAGAAUAUCUUAAACAGAACAGAACAUUCAAAGAUGCAGCUAGAUUAACGAGAUUCCAUGUUGGGAUUCGUUUAGAACACUUUUCAGGAUUCAGACAUUAAUUGAAAGCAAAAGGGUACUUUAAUCUAAAAUCAAAAAUUACAUCUUUCUGCAAAGAGACUUCAAAAAGGAAACAACGGCAAUUUGAAGCAAAACAAAGAAAAUGAACUUGCCGUUACAAUAAAGUGAGGAGCACGAAUAGUGAAGAUUCUAUGGUAAACAAGAUUGGCGACAAAGAACACAAAGUAAGAGUGACAGAACCAAGAGAAGAAGGGGUGAAAUUUGAUUUUUUGGAGGUUAUGAAAACGAGAGGUGUGAAGCACCCAAAGAGAAGGUGCAGAGAUGUUGUUUUUGUGUGACAGUGGUGGAAUGGUGUGAAGAAAGUUAAUUUAUAUAUAAAGAAAAUGUUGGAAUGAAGAAUGAAAAUAGUAUAGUAGUAAAUGAUAGUGCGACACAUAGACACAGACAUGAACAAGUUGUUUAGGAGUUUUAGGUAAAACUGUUUGUCGAUAAUGAUAGUUGCGUGUUUAAUAUUUGUAAAUAACUAUCUAAGACCAACAAAAUAAAUGAAGUGUGUGUUGUUUAUUUGUUCAACACAAAAGAACACAAAUUUGUCUAUAAAGAAACUUACAAAUAAGAUUGUGACUCAAAAAACUUAAAUAAAUAAAAGUAAUAAUGAUGGAUAAAUGAGUAAUAAUUNAUAUGCAUCUGCAAUAGGAUCUAUCAUGUAUGUCAUGUUAUGUACUCGACCAGAUGUCUCGUAUGCUUUAAGUGCAACGAGUAGGUACCAAUCUGAUCCUGGUGAUGCUCAUUGGGUAGCUGUCAAGAAUAUCCUUAAUUAUUUGAGAAGGAUUAAGAACUCAUUCUUGAUAUAUGGAGGUCAGGAAGAGCUGGUUGUAAUUGGAUACACCGAUGCUAGUUUCCAGACAGAUAAGGAUGACUUUAGAUCGCAAUCUGGUUAUGUGUUUUGCUCAAACGGUGGCGCUGUGAGCUGGAAAAGUUCAAAGCAAGACACAGUUGCUGAUUCUACAACUGAGGUCGAGUAUAUUGUUGCCUCAAGUGCAGCAAAGGAAGCUGUUUGGAUCAAAAAGUUCAUUAGUGAACUUGGCAUAAUUCCUAGCAUUGUGGAUCUCGUUGGUCUCUAUUGUGAUAACAAUGGUGCCAUCGCACAAGCUAAGGAGCCUAGAUCUCACCAAUGAUCCAAACACAUACUUAGGCAUUAUCACCUCAUUCGAGAGAUAAUAGAUAGAGGAGAUGUGAAAAUAUGCAGAGUACCUACACUUGACAAUAUUGCUGACCCACUGACAAAGCCUCUUGCGUAGCAGAAGCACGAUGGCCAUACUAGAUCUAUUGGCAUUAGGGGUUGCCUGAUUGGCUCUAGUACUAGUGGGAGAUUGUUGGUGUAAGCCCUAGAGGCCAAUACUUUUGGUACUUGUAUCGAAUUAUUUAUUAAUAAUAAAAGGCUUUUUCUUUAUUAUGUUUGUCUAAUAAAGUCCCUAGAAUAGAUAGUCCGUUUAAUGUAUCAAGUAUGACUUAAUCAUGAGAUCACAUUAAACAUAAGGACACUAUUCUUAAAGUAUCCGUAGUCGAGCUUUAUUGUGAAGUGGGAUAACAUUAAAGCAUUAAGACUAUUAUGUAUAUAGACUGAUGAUCACAUCUCAUGGAUCAUGGAUAAGGAGUUAUCAAGUCUUAAACAUAGGUAUGAAUAUUAAGAGUAAUAUUUAUACUGGAUUGACCCGCUAUGAGAAUACUAUAUAGAAUGUUAUGCAAAGUGUCAUAAGUUAUUCUCAUGGUGAUAAUGGUGUAUACCAUCCUUCGACCUGAAACCACUAUGGACCCUAGAUGUAGAGUCGAGUGCCUUAUUGCUGAUCAAACAUUGUCCGUAAUUGGAUGACCAUAAAGACAGUUGAAGGGUACUCCACGAAGCAUGCUAAGGGACAUGAGUGAACUAGAUGGAAUUUUCCCAUCCUGCGUAACAGAAUAAAUUCCUAUGGGCCCAAUAUUGAACUGUACAAAGAUGACACGGUCUAUGCCUUGUGUUCAAUAUAGACAUAAGGGCAAAAGGGUAAUUGUACACAUAAGUAUUAUCGCAAAAGGAUUUGUCAGAUCACAUGACAUUUUUGUGUCUUGGGUAGUAGUGAUGUGUUGCUAGAUACCGCUCAGUGUUUAUUAUGUUAAAUACGUGAUUUAAUAUAAUUAUCAAUGCCGCGAGAACCUACAUGGUCACACACAAAGGACGGAUUGAUAAGAGAUAGAGUAACUAAGAAACACCGUAAGGUACGGUACACUUAAGUGAAUUGUAGAACAUCGUAAGGUACGAUGUACUUAAGUAGAAUACGAAAUAUGGUAAGAUACCACGCACUUAAGUGAUUUUUGCAUAUUAUAAGAUAUGGGCCACAUACACUUAAGUGGGCUUUUUAGCUUAUAGCCCACACAAGUGGUUCUAUAAAUAGAACCCUUGUGCAGAAGCAUUAGUGCAGUUGCAAUUUCGUUUCUCUCUCUACCCACACAAGUGGUUCUAUAAAUAGAACCCUUGUGCAGAAGCAUUAGUGCAGUUGCAAUUUCGUUUCUCUCUCUCUCUCUCACUCAAAGCCUUCAUUCGUAGCAGCUAGCACUGAGAUUGAAGGAAUUCGUUCGUGUGAACUGAGUAAAGGCGUUGUCAUCGUUCAACGUUCGUGAUUGCUCCGUAGAUCUGCAUCAAAGGUUACAAUCGCCACAAGAGGUAACAAUUCUAUCACUGAUCAUGCCCAUUCGUAAGGAUCACUAAAGGAGAAAUUUUAAAUUCCGCUGCAUUUUGGAUCGCCUUUCUCCUUCACAGUCGAGUACACUAUAAGUUGUGUCAAACUCUAACUUGUCGCAUCAACCCAUAUGUUGAAAGAAAACAGUGAAACGUUUCAAUGAUGGAAAUGCAUUUAAUGUGUUUGUUCCCCGCUACUUUUCAACUGACUCCAAGUGUUUUAGUUCUAGCUCACAUUAGAAAACAUUCUUGGAGGCCGGCCAAAACCACUUAAGGUUCUCUGACUCUUUCUAUGUCCGACAAAGUCCUGGGAGCAACUGUUCUUGGUCGGCCAAAUGCUCAAAUGGUUGAGACCCACUUCAACUCAAAUCCGCUCCACUUGAUCCAAGAUAUAAAGUCAGUUCACACGGAAAGAAAGAUACAUUCUCUGAUCUCCACUUUUCACUACACUCAUCUUAAAUCUUAAACUGACUUGAACGUUACAAUGUUAACCUUUCAGGUCCACCCCGUACCACCACCCUGGAAAUCAACACCGCCGGUUUGAGUUUCCUCUUCAACGAAUCACAUCUAUUUCUGGUUCCAAGAAAGUGUAUCAUGUCUCAUAAUUCCUUCAUAGAAACAAGCUAAGCAACAUAAAACUGAAAUCCAAACAGCAACAUAACAACCAUUCAUAAAUGGCAUCAUUCCAUCAACUUGAAAAUAUUCCUGCCCGUUUUAUAUAUUGUAAGGAUUAAAACGAUAAGACAUCAAGAAGAUGUCGAUUGUUUGUUGUUGUCAAAAACACAACCUAUAGAGCAUCACUUAGUACUGCUAUGAUCUGUUAAAGAUACAUUUUAGCUUUGAAGUUGAAUCAUUUGAAUAUUUUUCAAGGAAUUUGCUUUAACUUUAACUUCUUUCCGUUUGAUCCUACACUACUGCUGCUUUCCCCUCUCAAUGCGGUUACUCGAGGGCUAGGAAUCAUUUGUGAUAUUUGCGGGCUAUUAGCAGGUCUUAUAUCUCCUCCUAUUGGUGUUGCAGUUGAACUAGAUGCUUUAGAGCUUUGAGUGCGACGUAUCUCUCCGCGACUCCUCGUGAUAAUCUCAUCAAGAAUUUCUCCACCACUGACAUUCACUGUCGUUCCAUGGUUACUUAGAUCCUGCAAGGUAUAUAGACAUUAAAACUGUGAACAACAUAUAUGAUAAGGUUAAAACAUUUUUGUGUUAAUCUCUUAUGAUGGAUCAAACUAAAAUGAUUCAAAACCUCUUACAUCAAAGGACAUGUUGAAAGCAAUGGCGGGUGCUUCCUCGUAUGAUGCCGCGUCCAACUCUUGAAGAUGGGGUCCUUUGAAAAAAUGGGGAAGAAAAUAUUGCCGAACCGGGACAAGAAGCAUGAUUAACAACGGAAAGAGGACCCCGGCGAUCGGUAUCCAGGUUAUGCCAAAGCAGAGAAGCAAGUAAGCUGUCUGGAACAGAGUAAACAGAGCAAUUGCUUUCAAAGGCACAGUCUCAACAAAAGUGGCAUGGUGUUCCUCCAGCAGUCUAGAAAGGAAAAGAGAAAAGCAUCAAUCUCGUAAAACAGAACGCUAAUAGUCACGAGCAACGAGCGUGCGAUAACUUUAAUACGUUGUUCUCAGCUUGUUGAUCCAAAGAGCCUUAGAAGGGUGACAAAUUGAUUAUGAAAAUAAACUUACUUGUAUCUUCGACUUGGAGCAGUGAAAAGGUACAAUAUUCUCUCCCAAAAUUGAUUUCCCGGCAAGCUUUCAAUUGCCAUGAAGGCAAAGUAACCCCAAAGCACUGAAGUUGGUAUCUUCUUCAAAAGAGGCAUAGCAGCAACACAAGCCGCAACCAUCGAUGCCUGCAGUAGAUUGCUGAGGCGCUGCUCUUUAACUUCAACUGGCAUAAGGUCAUCAACAUCCUUAUUCACAUCAAAGACGAUUUCAUCAACAGGAGCAUCAAUGUAUCCAUGACUUGAAGCCAGUGCGACGGUAGACUCCUUCAACUCUUUAAGCCCCUGCUUGAAGAACAAAACAAAAGGUAAAGCAAAAAAAAGAAAAAAUCGCAAAUUCAAGAUCAAUUGGAAAUCAUAUGAUCGCGUUUACCAAGGUGGGCGGCAUUUGGGAAACCAAUGGUGUCUGCAUUACGUCAUAUGCUUCUUUCAUACUUUCGUAAAACUGACUCAGGUUCAUGUUUUUCUCCAUGCUCGUUCGUGCAGUAGAGACAAGCUUAUGCCGUAAAAUCUAUUCCAAACAAAACAAAUAUCCAUCAUAGCGACAACAAGGCAUAUUUGAGAAUGUAAAUUUACAGGUCCUAUAUUCAAUGGUCAAUAAGAAAUAUGUUACCUGAUGUUUUAGAGUAGCUAAGCUCUUGGUAUGCAUUGGAGAUUGCGGAAUCACGCCGUUGGAAGGAGGGAUUCCAAUAAGCCCGCAGAAUAAGGUCUGGAAAGUAAGAUUGACAAGAACUUAAAAUGCAAAAAUAUUGACGAGAUGGAGUAGAAGGUUGAAAUAAGUUAUCUUCUUCCAUUAACUGUGAUUGCAAUGGAUUUCCAAGUGUUUCGAACAAAACAUACCAAAAAUCCCAAGAGUAGUAAGUCAUAGUGGUAAGACGAAGGUUUUCUUAGAUUGAACUCCUUUUGCUGCGCGAGUUGUGAUGCAACACUAUGAUCAAAGUAGUAAAGCACGGCAAUCAUAGUCGCUGGUAUAAAUGCUCCGAUAAUGUACAAUAUAGGCACAUUCAACAUUUCCUGCAAAAUGCAGCAAAAGAUUAGCAUCAUGCCAUGCCUGCUUUAGUACCGAGUUCGACUCUUACUGAUAAAAAAAAUUAUUCAUAAUACAUAAUCAAAGUCACCUUUACAACAGUCCAAUUUGAGUAUGCACCAGGAGACCAUGGAUUUGGACUAAAAAGUCGCCUCGGGACUCCCCUCGGAACCUUGUUGACAGGUAUGUAAGAUACAGCAGUCCAUACGAGAAUCAUUAAGGGGACACCGUAAUCAGCUAUAAAUCCUCGUAGCCAACCUAUAAUAUAUAACAAAUUGGUUUAGAAAAAUGAGAAUGUUGAUUAAACAAAUAAUUUACCGCAAACUCACAAUCUAAGCAUAGUAAAUACCUGUCCCGUAACGCCAGGAUCUAGCCUUGCGGCUUCCUAGACCGGUAAAAAGAAGGCCGAACGAUAAAACUAAAGCAAACAUGCCAUUGCCAAACAGCCAAGAGGAUUGGAGUGCAAUCUGAUUGGUACCUUCUGUCUGUGUCUUUGGUACACCAAACUCUUCCACAAGUCCCUUUAAAAUGGAGAUUAUAACCUUCUUAUCAAAUACUAGUUUCAUUUUAGGUAACUGUUAACAGAAAGUGCCUAUUUUGAAACCGCAUACAGAAGUUACAGAUUACUAAAGAAAAAUACCUUUAUAGCCUGCUGCAUAAAGAGCAUUGCAAUUAACAGACCAAAUAGUUCACCGGUAAGGCGCGUGAACCGGUUGAUUAUGGAGCAUGCACCGAGAAUAGCCAGCAAGAACAGCAACAGUGCAGUCCAAACGCACACCCUAAAACAUUAUUUGUAAAAAAGUAUCGACAAAGUUACUUCAGCUCAUUAGUAAUUCCCUUAUAAAAAUAAACCGGACAAAGAUUUCCAAAGAUACCAUCCAGUCCAAGGCAAGAACAAUUUGUGUCCUAAAUCCUCGCGAUCUUUUGCAAAAUUGUACAUGAAUGUAUACAUCAGAACCGUUGGCUCGGCUACACCUAGUAUGAGGAGAGGUUGCCCUCCAAUAACCGAGUGGACAAUACCGCACAGUGCAGUUGAUGCAAGAGUCUGCACAGCAGUGAGAGUUCCAUCUGUAUAAUAUAACUUCUUAGCAAUAUAAUAUGACAUAAAAACCGAGACUGAACCUCAAAAAUAUUUGUGUACCGGUACUUCUCUCAAGUUGCUCCCCAAAAGAAAUAACAGGAAUUGCAGAAGCAAAAAAUAUGUAUGUAGUUGGUGCAAGGAUCCUAUAUAUAAAACAACAACAAAAUUAAAUCAUUCAAAAACUUUCUUUCUAAUGUUUGUAAAAAAAAACAAGCAAGUUCAUAGUUAUAUCACAAACCUUGCACCUGCGCGGAAUCCACUGGUCCAAUCUUGUUUGUAGCACAUAAUUCUUGCUUUGAAGUCAUUCUUAAUCCCGCGAAAAGGAACAAAUGUUUCUUCCAUGAAAGUCUUUGAAUACCAAGGAACUAAUAUUGAAUCUCAAAAAUAAAGAAGAUGAAAAAUAUGCAAUUGGAAGAUGCUUAUUUCAGACUCAAUUCAAGAGAGCUCUAGAGGUAAAACAGUACUUAAUUAAAGCCUGAUACGCGAAAAUAAAACAUAACUCCGGGCAGGGAGACGAGAAUUCUACAUAACAUCAUCCUAAACAGAAAAGCUAGAAGGUGUAGUUAUUUGUUGAUUGUUGAGCCCACCAGGCUCAUAGUGAAGAAAAUGAAUGAAUGAAUCCAGAAAAAAGAAUUUACAUUUCAAAGAAUUUAUGAACUCUUGCAUAUAUUGUAUUGUGUAAUUGAACAAAAAGCACUUGAAUUACAUAUCCAACAGAAACUCAAAGAGAGUCAAACAAACACUUCACAAGAAGAGUUGAGUGAGAAACUGUCCUCAAAAACUAACACUCAACCAUAACAAAACCAAGAUCCAAAACUACCCUUCUUCUAGAAUACAAUAAAAACCCUCCAUAUGCUAUCAAAAGAGACAAAAUUUACACCUAGAAACAAGUUACAUGUUACACUUUCACACUCAAACACACACUCAAAUUCAAAGUGAAGUUAAUCAAAUACACGUUUUUGAAUGUAUAGCUAUGGAGGGCAAUACAAUAAAAUUAACGAAAACCCAUAAUCACAACCUGCAUUUUCUAUAGUAUAAAAGCUCUAAGAAGAAUAUUCUUAAACAGAACAGAACAUUCAAAGAUGCAGCUAGAUUAACGAGAUUCCAUGUUGGGAUUCGUUUAGAACACUUUUCAGGAUUCAGACAUUAAUUGAAAAGCAAAAGGGUACUUUAAUCUAAAAUCAAAAUUACAUCUUUCUGCAAAGAGACUUCAAAAAGGAACAACGGCAAUUUGAAGCAAAACAAAGAAAAUGAACUUGCAGUUACAAUAAAGUGAGGAGCACGAAUAGUGAAGAUUCUAUGGUAAACAAGAUUGGGACAAAGAAACAAAGUAAGAGUGACAGAACAAAGAGAAGAAGGGGUGAAAUUUGAUUUUUUGGAGGUUAUGAAAACGAGAGGUGUGAAGCACAAAGAGAAGGUGCAGAGAGUGUUUUUGUGUGACAGUGGUGGAAUGGUGUGAAGAAAGUUAAUUUAUAUAUAAAAGAAAAUGUUGGAAUGAAGAAUGAAAAUAGUAUAGUAGUAAAUGAUAGUGCGACACAUAGACACAGACAUGAACAAGUUG